rnacentral:misc_RNA from 1 species
GUAGGUGAACCUGCGGAAGGAUCAUUAACACGUAUCCAACGUUAAACCCCCCUGUGAACUUUCAGCCUGCUCUUGUGGCUUGUAGGGUUAAGCAGCAAUCUCGGUAAAUCAAGUGGGAGAAACAGUUCUGAUUCGAGACCUCUGCACCCUAUGGGUUAUGAUUGAAGCGGUGGAAGCAGUGGCAUGGCGUCCCAAGCCUCCAGUGAAUGACAGCGUCACUAUAACGCUUAUUCGGUUGCUAGAGGUCGCUCACCGACCGGCAGACAUGUCACAGGGCCUUGCGCCCCCUAACCACCCCUUUGCCAAUGCACUAGCCCGGGGCGAAAGUCCGAGGCAUUAAAACCGAACAACUGUUAACAAUGGAUAUCUUGGUUCUC